GUGUCCAACUAAUGCAGAGUAUAUUCAAGCUGUCAACACACUGAUGUGAAGAACCCUUUCCAGAGAAAUAGAGAAAGAAAUGACUGUGAAGCUUGUGUUGGGGAGGAUUCAGUGUCUGUUGAGGCACAUGUGAAUGUGCUAUAAAGUGAGUAUCAGAAACACAUCCAGACCCCUCGACGGUCAAAGACCACACGACAGGAACAUGCUCCUGGAGACGCUGAGAAAGUAUCUAUACUCAAAAAAUACACAUACUUCAGGACACCUGCUGGAGGGGACCCUGCUACACCUUUCCUACCAUACACCUGAUGGAUACUGACUGUAAAAUGGCAAUCAUAGUUCGAGGGCUCAGUGUGGUGACAGAAGAUGGAACAGAUGUGUGCCAGUGCACCAGCCUUGAUGAAGCUUCAUAACAGCCUUCUGUGUGUAUUCUGCUUUCAUCAUUGGAUAUCCACCACACCUGAG